CACAGACAAAGCACUUGUAAGAUAAGCUUUGUGCCCAAGAGAGCACAGCUGCAGUUUGCUCACCCACAGCUCCGUGCAGGACAGCCCCCCCGCGCCCCCCUACCCCAUGAAGACGUGCAGGCGGCCACUGGAGUUGCCACCCACGAGGACAUUCCUGGUGGGGUGGAACGCAUUGAUGGAGCACACCGAGCCCAGGCACUCGGGGCUGCAGAAGGCGUGCAGCAGCACCCCCGUGUCCUGGAACACCUCGACCUGCCUCGGCCGUGCCAUGCUGCCCACCACAAAGCACUGCUCCUGCUUGGGGUCCCACACGGCGCGGAAGCGCGUCAGCCAGCGGCCCGUGUUGUUGUUGUGCCUGACAGUGCUGAGGAGGGCAGCGGUGGCCGAUAAAGAGCUGGUGUCAUAGACCCUCAGCCUGUCGUCCGCACACACGGUGACCACGCGGCGCCCGCUGACGGGUGAGAAGUAGGCGGAGGCCACGCUCUUGGUGUGCCCUCGCAAAGCGCUCACAGCGCUGCUCCCGCUGCGCCGCAGCCAUCGCACGUCGAAGACGCGGACGUCGACAGAGCCUGCGGCAAGGAAGUACUGCCUGUCCACGGGGUGCACGGCCACCGUCCUCGUCACUUUGAAGCCGA
rnacentral:lncRNA from 1 species